ensembl:rRNA 5S_rRNA 5S ribosomal RNA
GCUUACGGCCAUACCAGCCCAAGAACGCCCGGUCUCGUCUGAUCUCGGAAGCUAAGAAGGCUUGGGCCUGGUUAGUACUUGGAUGGGAGACCUCCUGGAAUACCAUGUGCUGUAAGCU